GAAUCACUCUAUUUGCCUCUGCCAUUCUAUGAGUCGCUUCCUUUUUGCGUAUGGUACCCCCGCUCCCUUUGGCAACAUCUACUAAUUUUUGGGAUGUUUUUUUUUGAACUUAUUUUGGGAUGUUUCUAA
rnacentral:rRNA from 1 species